rnacentral:tRNA from 1 species
GGGGCAUUAGCUCAGCUGGGAGAGCGUUUGGUCGACAACCAAGAGGUCGGCGGUUCGAGCCCGUCAUGCCCCA